AGUCGGGCAGUCAGGCAGACGGCAUACAACCUCCCACUGUGUGUGCCGCAGGAUAAACGCCCCGAGAGACAGACCUUUAUAGAAGUUGUCCCUGCCUCGGACUUGACUCGAAAUGUUGUCAACAAUUUCACGUGUUUACACUUGCCGCCGUUUGUGGUUGGGUUCUGGGUUUUUGGCCGGGCUGCAUUUGAUAGAUGCCCAUUUGAAGAUAGCUUUGUCUGUGGUGCCGACACGAGAGAGAGAGAACCAUUCAGAUUUGUUCUCUUAUGAUACGAUAUCGUAUAUCGAUAUGAAAUCAGAUAGAACUUGAAAGUUUUGAGGCAACUUUUCCGCCGGAAAUAAAAAUGUGAGAGCCCAACAGAAAUUGUCGUAGUCAAUUGAUUGGCUGUCAAUUGCCAGAAAAUCAUAAAAAUACCCUGUGCUUGUUCAGCGUGCCGAAGUGGAGUAUGUGCAACUAAACAAAUUUGAAAAAAAAAAAACAGGAAAUAGCCUCAUAUAAUUCAAAUAAUUUACAUGUUUAUCUUUAACUGCUAAAGUAAUUACCAACUGUAAUUUGUAAUUACUUUAGUAAUGAAACAAUAGUUAAAAGUAAUUGAAAAAUGAUGGAAUGGAUAUAAACAAAAUAAUGUACACUCUUAGCUAUAUUUACUAAGCAAAUUAAAAUUUUUUGAUUUACUUUGGUAAUUAAACUAUACUUAAAACUAA